UACGUAGGGCGCAAGCGUUGUCCGGAAUUAUUGGGCGUAAAGAGCUCGUAGGCGGUCUGUUACGUCCGCUGUGAAAACCCAGGGCUUAACCCUGGGCUUGCAGUGGAUACGGGUAGACUAGAGGCAGGUAGGGGAGAAUGGAAUUCCCGGUGUAGCGGUGAAAUGCGCAGAUAUCGGGAGGAACACCGGUAGCGAAGGCGGUUCUCUGGGCCUGACCUGACGCUGAGGAGCGAAAGCGUGGGGAGCGAACAGG
rnacentral:rRNA from 1 species